GGGAAGGUGGCUCAGUGGUAGAGCACUUGCCUUGCAUGCAUGAGGCCCUGGGUUCCAUUCCUCAGCCCA
rnacentral:tRNA from 1 species